CCUGCCUUGGCCUCCCAAAGUGCUGAGAUUACAGGUGUGAGCUACCGCCCCCGGCCUUCCAUUUUGGAAUGUUAAUGCUUUGUUUCAUUACCUUCUUGAGUUGUGGCUCAGACACUACAACAGAGCUCCGUCAUCUCUUUCUAAAAGCUGGGAAAUGGUUAUUGUCAACGCCAGCCCCAUUUUGGAGGCACCUGGCUGCAGGCGACCACAGCUAGACCCGAGUCAUCCCUGGAGUCUCACACUUGACUUAGUCAAAAGGCCGAGAAGCGAUCAUCGCUGGAGUCUCUCUGAAUCUGCCAUGAUCCUGGAGGCUGCCCGAUUCAUGCAUUGUUCAUUGCUCAAUUAAACUCCUUUAAAUUUAA